AUGUUUCAUAAAUACUUACUAUGAAUUUGUUGUCCUGUGCUCAUCUUAAAGGAUGUUGGACCAUUGAGGAACAUGUAUCUUAGGUGUACAGAUGCAAUGCUAGUGAAAAACUCUGAGUCUGAAGAGGUUAUAACUACAAAUCUGAGGACCAUCAGUGCUGAUAUGUGUAUUGAACGCAUAUUACAGGCAAUCAUUCAGGAUUCUAUGCACAUUUUUCAGUCUGCUCUUUUCCUUCCAAAUACUCAUGCAACAAAUUGUUCACUCAGCUUAUACUCUAUGAUAUUUCUAUCCAUGUGCUUUAUUGCCAGAUGUCAUUCACAUUUGCUGAGAAUGUAAGUAUCAAAUCCAAAUUACCUACAUGGUUUUCUCAGUUGUUAAAUGUUUAAUCUGUUUUAUGAGCAAUUGUGCACUUUAAGUAUUCUUUUGAAUUACAGCCUGGAUUUAUAGUGCAUGCCAUGGGAUUCUUAAAAUUCCCAGAAUCUUUUAAAAGUCAUAUGUAGCAGUAGAAGCCAACAUUUUGUGUUGGGUUUCUUUGCUGUAGGCAUUCUUCAUUCAAUAUAUAUUUGCUUUUCAGUUUUGUUGCUUAAAUUUUGUGGUACAAAUAUGGUCUCACAUAUGCUUUAUAUGACCAGGGAGCUUCACAUGAGGGACAUAAAUUAGUACACUCAAAAUUGAAUGGCACUGUCAGAACAUCCUACAAAUUUUUAAUGAAAUAUAGGACUAAAAAGAUCAAGUGUCCCAAAUAAUAGCUUUCAAUGAGGAGGAUGUCAGGUUUUGUGGGGUUGGUUUUCUUUUAGUGAAUAUUAGACUUUCUUUGCCUGUUUAUAUUUCUGUAGUUCAACAGCAUUUGCAUAAUAUACUAUUUGUUUAUGCACAGUCUGACAAAUCUGGUAAUUUGCAAACAGUGUGUUUUGUUAAUUAUAGUAGGUGCUUUGGCUAUUUAUGUAUUUGAGCAGCUUGAGCUAAAUUGAGAGAAUAAAACCAAUGAGGCAGGAAAGUCCAAUUAAAAGUACAUUAAUCAAAUGCCCCCCAAAUGCCUUUCCUCUCUAAUACAUAUUGUUGCAUUUUAUGUAGAGUGCCUGUUUGAUGUCAAUUGUCCUUCUGUAUCUAAUGCAGUAUCUUGUUCAGUCAGUGUGCAGUAAUAAAUGUAAUUGUCAAGUG